rnacentral:lncRNA from 1 species
UCUAAUGGCAGCCGGUAAACCAAAUAGGCCAUCUGCUUGUUCGUACUUACCAAACUCCUCCCAUUUUUUAUCUAUCGUCGCUGAAUUAGGGAUCAACUUCUCAAGACAUGCAUGGUAUCCAACUCACACCUCUGGAUCCAAAGUUUCCUGACUAGUGUUCUUGUAAAAUAAUCCCGGGUUUAGAAGAUGGCAUACUGCAUGCAAAGGUCGAUGGAGUUGCUUGUCCCACCUGCUAUCAAUUAUCUCAAAAACCUUCU